rnacentral:tRNA from 1 species
GUCGCCCUUGCGGUAGCGCACCUGCUUUGGGAGCAGGGGGCCGCGGGUUCAAAUCCCGCCAGCCCGA